ACCCCACAAUUUUUUUUUUCCAAAUUCUAAACCUCCGCGUCGCCUCCUUCACGCGCGAGCUGUGUAGCCUUCUCCGGCGCGGCGCCAUGAUGGGGAGCAGGGUGGCGGCGGCGCUGCUCCGCCGGGGGAGGGACCGGGCGUCCGCGCUGAUGGCCGCUCGCGUCCCGAGGGGCGCCCCUCCUCCGGCUCCGCCUGCUCCUAGGGUUGGAUCCGGCCCCCGCGGCGGCGGCGGCGGUGGCGGCCUGCUCGCCCCGCCGAGGUCGACGGGAUCCGUCUUCUCGGCUUCGCGCCUCGCCUCCUUCCACGCCUUCCGCUCGAUCGGCUCCAAGACCUUGAUGAGCCAAUGCACACGGAAAAUGUCUACUACUGUGGCAGCACUAAAUUCAGGUGUGGCCACUGCAGCGGCAAAUUCAGGAUUGAAGUUGCUUGUUACCAAAGGGCCCCAAGCACAAAAGGCGGUCGGGAUAUGGCUCUUUGGAUGUGCUGCCUGGGUAUUCUGCUUGGUCAUACUUGGAGGAGUCACACGACUUACACGUUCAGGAUUGUCAAUGACUGACUGGAAAUUUACCGGGGGCUUGCCUCCAAUGUCAGAUGAAGAGUGGAAGCUGGAAUUUGAGAAAUACAAAUUGUCACCUGAGUACAAGAGGGUGAACAAAGGCAUGAGCCUUGAAGAUUUCAGAUUUAUAUACUGGAUGGAGUAUGGACACAGAAUGUGGGGAAGAGCCCUGGGCUUUCUAUUUUCUGUUCCUUUUGCAUAUUUCAUUGCAAAAGGGUAUGUUACCCGCCAACUUGGACUCAGGCUAUCGGCUCUUUUCGCACUUGGUGCAGGUCAAGGACUAAUUGGCUGGUGGAUGGUGAAAAGUGGUCUUGAGGAACCAGCAUCUGAGUAUGUUCAACCAAGAGUUAGCCCAUAUAGGCUGGCAACCCAUUUAACCUCUGCAUUUGUUAUAUACUAUGGCAUCUUGUGGACUGCUCUGUCAGUGGUGAUGCCAGAACCUCCAGCUGGAUCAAUGAACUGGGUAAAUUCUGCAGCCAAGAUUAAAAAGUUGGCGAUUCCUGUCAGUGCUGUGGUGGGCAUUACUGCCAUAUCUGGAGCAUUUGUUGCUGGCAAUGAUGCAGGGCAUGCAUACAAUACAUUUCCCAAGAUGGGUGACACAUGGAUACCAGAAGAUGUGUUUACUAUGGAGCCUUUCAUACGUGACAUUUUUGAGAAUACGUCCACUGUGCAGCUUAAUCACCGAAUUCUUGCAACAACCACCUUAUUGUCUGUGGGUGGCUUAUGGUUGGCUGCAAGGAAAUUGGACAUGCAUCCAGCAGUCAAGUCUCUGAUUGGAAGCACGCUUGGAAUGGCUGCCCUUCAGGUUACAUUGGGAAUAUCUACACUUUUGAUGUAUGUUCCCACCUCCUUGGGUUCAGCUCACCAAGCUGGGGCAUUGACACUAUUGUCACUGAUGAUCCUUCUCACUCACACGUUAAGAAGACCGUCACCAGCUCUUCUGAAGUCACUUGCAUCAGCAGUAAAAUCAACCUAACUCCGUGUCAUGAAAUUUUUCACCCGGCACAAUAGAUUGUUUGAUAUUUCCCCUCUUAUGCUGAUGGACUUUCCUUCCCUUUCUUUGCACUACAUAAUCACUGAACUCAUUUGACCCAAGAGCAUUCAAUUCUUGAAUAAGGGGUUCUUAUCUUUCUAGUGCCACAUAUUACGUACCUUUUCAAAGUCUGGACAGGCUGCAAUUUGCAUUUUUGACAUGCCGUGGGCAAGUGGUAUUUGUGCUCUGUUUCGAUAAUGUCUAGGGAAACAACUGUAUUUUGUACCAGUACCUAACACAGGCUACAUUUGUAUCAACUGUGUAAAUGUGAGCGCAUCAUGCUUUUGAUACCAUACCCAGUAAAAUCUUAACGCAGUAAAUUGCAUGAAUACAUUUGUAUCAACUGUGUAAAUGUGGCCAAGUGCUUGUCUUAGCUUUGCUUUGUAUUUUUUGUGGUAGUAGCAGUGUUUUGAUCUUCUCUCUCAAAGUAUAGCAGGACAAAAUUGGAGGAUGUAAGCAGCAAACCAGAUGAUGUAGUGAGCAUGUUGGAGGAUGAUUUGGGAUGGAAGCUUCUUUGGAUCACGUUUCGCAUUUGGCCAUUUGGGAAUUUUUAACCCAAAGCUGGAAGUAACCAGUAGCGCAUGAUGCAUGUGAUGAACAGCAUGCAACAAACAGUCAACCCAACCAUGUAUUAGUGUAUGACCCGGAGUCCGGAGAGACCAGGAAUACUGUCACGAGCCACGCGGUGCGCACCCUUUGCGUGCCUCGUCUCGGCGUUGCCAAAUUCCAGGUCAUCAUGCAAUCCUGAGCUGUGUUCAUCGCUCAUCGAUUCGUUUUUUUCAGAUUUAGAUUAGGAGCUAUUUCUAGCUGGAUAGAUUAAGUUGUGGUGAGAUGUGUCAGCAACAUGCAUGGGUUUGGAUAAGAAAAGACGAAAUCAGUCGAUAUAAGAGUCUGAGUUUUAACUUCUAAGAAGUAAUCGUGAGGAUCAUUGGAUGAGAGAUUACUUCUAUUUAUUGUGGAAGAUUAAGUAACUUUCCUUUAUUUUUUGUAAGUUUUAUCUCACAUCCGAUUAGGACUAGGUUUUCUUUUAUCUUUAGAAAAUAUGUCACAUCCAAUAGCAAUUAGAUUUAGA